UGGGGUAUCGCCAAGCGGUAAGGCAGCGGGUUUUGAUCCCGCCAUCCCCAGGUUCGAAUCCUGGUACCCCAG
rnacentral:tRNA from 4 species